GUUCAUUUCUGUCACAAUGACAGAAAUGACAAGUGUCCUUAAGGGUAAUUUUCUAUGGCUUUGUCCCCACUCACUUGAUAGCUGGAUCAAGCACCAUCUAUCAUUAACUUCCACUAUCAUCACAAUGGGGGCUCAGCGGGACAAUGCCUGGCUCUUCUCCAUUAACUCUGUGCCCAGUGUGGGCGUGGCACACAUAGGGUAAUGAGUUAGCCACCAUGCUGCUCUAGAUCUGACUCAUCUGAGGGAAUGGGUGCUGGGCACUGUUCUCUGCUCUAAGAAUCUUUCUCCUUGGGCUAGAGGAACUCUAUAGAUGGGGCAGGGCUGGCUGCAUGGAGGAAGUGGGACUAACAUGAUCCUGGGCUUGGGAGUGGAGGUGAAGGUAGGGACUCUUCAUAUAGCCAUCCCUGGGGGCUCUGGGCUGUGGGUGCUUAUGGACUUUUGAGUUUGCUUUCUGGAAAAGGAAAGAGGAAGAGAAAUCCCUUGGGGGUGGGAGGUUGUUUAAGUCAGCUGCACUGUCAAAAAGGAAACAGUACAGCUUAGAGCAUCAGAGACUUCCCCUCUGUGGGCCUCAGAGUCCUCCAUUACAAAAUGGAAAUAACAGUCAUUCACAGGGUGUUGAACUUAAGUGUCAGAAGAAUGACAAGGUGCUUUUAAAAUGUAGAUAUGAAAGGGGAAACUGCUGCUGACCACAUGGUGAUAGCUAGCCAGGCAUUACGAGGAGGCUGAACCAUCUUUAUUUUCAGCGUGGAUGAAAGUCUUUCACCCAUUUCUGAACUCUGACCAGCUAGAGCCUUUGGGGCACCAUGGAUUCGCCUUUCAAUUCCCAUAUGUUCGCUCACCCUCUAGUGAAUAUCCUGCUGUCUGCCC
rnacentral:lncRNA from 1 species